rnacentral:rRNA from 1 species
CACGUAGGGUGCGAGCGUGUCCGGAAUUAUUGGGCGUAAAGAGCUCGUAGGCGGUGUGUCGCGUCGGCCGUGAAAACCUGCAGCUUAACUGUGGGCUUGCGGUCGAUACGGGCAUCACUGGAGUUCGGCAGGGGAGACUGGAAUUCCUGGUGUAGCGGUGAAAUGCGCAGACUAUCAGGAAGAACACCCGUGGCGGAAAGCGGCUCUCUGGAACGGUACUGGACGCUGAGACGGCGAAAGCGUGGGGAGCGAACAGG